UGAACAGGUAGGGACUGCACUACCCAAAAU
rnacentral:piRNA from 1 species